rnacentral:rRNA from 1 species
AUGAACGUUGGCGGUGCGCCUAAUACAUGCAAGUCAAGGGGGUCCGCAAGGACUACCGGCAAACGGGUCAAUAACACGUUGGAACCUGCCUCAAAGUGAGGGAUAACUCCGCGAAAGCGGAGCUAAUACCGCAUAUGAUCGCAAGAUUAAAGCAGCAAUGCGCUUUGAGAGGGGCCUGCGUCCUAUCAGCUAGUUGGCGAGGUAACUGCUCACCAAGGCUAUGACGGGUAGCUGGUCUGAGAGGAUGAUCAGCGACAGGGAAACUGAGACACGGUUCCCACUCCUACGGGAGGCAGCAGUAAGGAAUCUUUCGCAAUGGGGGAAACCCUGACGAAGCGACACCGCGUGAAGGAUGAAGCCCGGAAGGGUGUAAACUUCUUUUUUGAGGGAAGAAUUCUGACGGUACCUCAAGAAUAAGCACCGGCUAACUCUGU